rnacentral:rRNA from 1 species
AUUGAACGCUGGCGGCAGGCCUAACACAUGCAAGUCGAGCGGAGCGGCGGACGGGUGAGUAAUGCCUAGGAAUCUGCCUGGUCGUGGGGGAUAACGUCCGGAAACGGGCGCUAAUACCGCAUACUAUCAGAUGAGUCUAGGUCGGAUUGGCUAGUUGGUGGGGUAAAGGCCUACCAGGGCGACGAUCCGUAACUGGUAUGAGAGGAUGACCAGCCAAACGGGAACGGAGACAGGGCCAAAAUUCCUACGGGAGGCAGCAGUGGGGAAUAUUGGACAAUGGGCGCAAGCCUGAUGCAGCCAUGCCGCGUGUAUGAAGAAGGCCUUCGGGUUGUAAAGUACGUUCAGCGGGGAGGCGUUACCCGCAGAAAAAGCACCGGCUAACUCCGUGCCAGCAGCCGCGGUAAUAC